rnacentral:rRNA from 1 species
UACGUAGGGGGCAAGCGUUGUCCGGAUUUAUUGGGCGUAAAGAGCGUGUAGGCGGCCAGGUAGGUCUGCUGUGAAAACUCGAGGCUUAACCUCGAGCUUUCGGCGGAAACCAUCUGGCUAGAGUCCGGAAGAGGAGAAUGGAAUUCCCGGUGUAGCGGUGAAAUGCGCAGAUAUCGGGAAGAACACCCGUGGCGAAGGCGGUUCUCUGGGACGGUAUUGACGCUGAGACGCGAAAGCGUGGGGAGCGAACAGG